rnacentral:rRNA from 1 species
UUAAACUGAAGAGUUUGAUCAUGGCUCAGAUUGAACGCUGGCGGCAGGCUUAACACAUGCAAGUCGAGCGGUAACAGGGGGUGCUUGCACCCCGCUGACGAGCGGCGGACGGGUGAGUAAUGCAUAGGAAACUGCCCAGUAGUGGGGGAUAGCCCGGGGAAACCCGGAUUAAUACCGCGUACGCCCUUCGGGGGAAAGCAGGGGAUCUUCGGACCUUGCGCUAUUGGAUGUGCCUAUGUCGGAUUAGCUAGUUGGUGGGGUAAAGGCCUACCAAGGCGACGAUCCGUAGCUGGUCUGAGAGGAUGAUCAGCCACAUCGGGACUGAGAC